AUGUCUCUUUUGAGAGAUCACAAGAUCGUGCGUAUUUUGCUCAUUGUGCUUUCUCAGUUUGCUUACUUUGCUGCUUUGAUUAUCAACGCGCUCGCGGGACCAGGAAAAGGUCCAUUUCAGCGCAGCACUGGGAAUAUAUCAGACAGAUAUCAGACAGAGAUCACUCCUGCUGGAUGGACUUUUUCGAUAUGGGGUGUCAUCUACUCCUGGCUCUUCCUGAUGAACGCAUAUAUCCUGACCUGGCUCUGUAGAGGGUUGUACUCAAGUCCAGCAAUCCUGCGCUCUGAGUUCUUUCUCUCAUGGAUCAUCAACAUGAUCCUGAACAGUACCUGGCUGGUCUUGUGGGAUAGAGAAUUGAUGAUUCCUGCUCUGAUUGUUCUUGCCCUGAUUACUUUCACCAACUACCUGAUGAUCUUCUUCUCUUGUAUUGGUCUACGAGCUCAUGGAUCUUGGCUUAAACAGGAGCACCCUAGUGCUGCAUCAUAGUGUUG
ensembl:lncRNA